rnacentral:lncRNA from 1 species
ACAUUUUACAUAACUUUCUCCAACUUACAAUCAUGUCAUACAUUCCACCAUUCCACUUUCCCUUUUUCUUUAUUAUACAUAUAACUUAUACCUAUUUUUACUCUUAUAUUUACCCAUUCUCACUCUUUUUUUUUCCAUAUACCUAUUUUUACUCUAACUAAUUCUAUUAAUUUAUUAAUUUUUUAUUCUAAUAAUUUUAUAUUUUUAUUUUAGAAUUUCUUUAAUGGAUUAUAAGUUUUU